UACGUAGGGGGCUAGCGUUGUCCGGAAUCAUUGGGCGUAAAGAGCGUGUAGGCGGUCCGGUAAGUCCGCUGUGAAAGUCGGGGGCUCAACCCUCGAAUGCCGGUGGAUACUGUCGGGCUAGAGUGCGGAAGAGGCGAGUGGAAUUCCUGGUGUAGCGGUGAAAUGCGCAGAUAUCGGGAGGAACACCAAUGGCGAAGGCAGCUCGCUGGGACGUGACUGACGCUGAGACGCGAAAGCGUGGGGAGCAAACAGG
rnacentral:rRNA from 1 species